AUAGACUGGGCUAUAUUAGAAUUAAAAACUUUUAUUCAUUUAAGGGCAUGACUAAAAGGGUGAAAAGGCAAUUCACAGUAGGACAAAAUAUUUACAACACAUAAUCCCCCAAAAGGACUCAUAUUCAAAGUGUAUAAAUACUCAAAGCUCAAACACCUCUCUCCCCCAGUAAUAUCCAGACAUUGAUCUAUAACAAUAGAUUAUUCAGAUGGUCAACUUGCUGCUUUAAUUUGUCUAUAUAGGAAAUGGUGAAAAGUCUUUUAUGAAAUUGAAUGGGAAUUCACUCCUUUGAAGCCAGGGACACAGGAGGGAUGAAGACCCUCUUUGUACUUCCCCCUUUCCUUCCCUCAUAGCUUCUGGGUCUGUGCUUGCCUUGGUGCAACCUGGACCUUGCUGGACCAUGUUUGCUGACCUCCAUGUUCUCUUUCAUCACGUGUUUUUUGAAUCUUCCAUUAUUGUGUCAACCCUGGACAUGCUCUUGUCUGAAUUUCAAGGCCAUGUCUACAGUUCAGAAGAGGUAGUGUCUUCCUUACGUAUCUAAUGGGUUCCCAAAAAUGUGUUUGAAAGUUAGUUGGAUGUUUGAAAGUCGAACAAUAGAUUUGCAUGUUGUAAGGAAGAAUUUGUUCUCAAUUCUAGCUAAAGUAUAUGAUGAAAUCCCUAAUUAUGGUUUCUGCCAGUGCCACCUCCCUCAGGCCUUGGCAACCCUGUGGGUGGGUGAGAACAGGCACAUGGCUGGAGUGGGUGGCAACUGCCAGUCGUUGUGGGCUGAGGAAGUUAAUCCAGGAAUCUCUCCUUCCAAGACUUAGCCCUCCUUCCCUCAUCCCAGCCUGAAAGGGCAAGGGCUGGAGUAGAGGGUCUGGUUCUUUUUUUUUUUUUUUUUUUUUUUUUGAGACAGAGUUUUUCUCUGUCACCCAUGCUGGAGUGCAGUGGCUUGAUCUUGGCUCAUGGCAAACUCCGCCUCCUGGGUUCAAGCUAUCCUCUUGCCUCAGCCUCCCAAGUACCGAGAUUACAGGCUCAAGCCACCAUGCCUGGCUAAUUUUUUGUAUUUUUAGUACAGAUGGGGUUUCACCAUGUUGGCCAGGCUGACUUACUUCGAACUCCUCACAGAAAUGGUGGUCCUGUGUGAGCUGAGAAACUCCAGGAUCCCUGGCCAUGAUCUCUGGAGUUCUGUCUGGCAGUACUGGCCAAUGGAGACUUAUCUCUGGCUGGAAAGGAGGUGCUGGCAGCUCUUGUUAAAGUGCUUGGGAACUCUGCUGGUGGGUACACUGGAAAAACAUAAGUGGAUAACGUCUGAAGGAUACUUUGGAGAUGAUACUGGCAAAUUUCCAAAGGAAGAGUUGGGAACAUUUCUCGUUUUCUCCAUUGUAUCACGCAGCUGUGCCAAUGACUAAACAAGCAAUGGAUUAUGCAGGUUUUGAAAACUUUUCAGGUUUUUCCUUUUGUCUAUAGCAGAGCAGGGAGGGGGAGAGAAUUGGUUUUUAAAGUCUAAUUUAACUACGUUUAAUUUCCUUUGUCUCUAAGUUUGAUAUACAAGAUUUCAGCAAAAUCUUUAGCAAAAAUGAUAGCAAUAGUGUGUUGCUUAUUAUUGCAGAUAUGAUGCAAUACUGGCAGCGUCAUGGGGUCCU
rnacentral:lncRNA from 1 species